GGCCAGAUAUACCCACAACCCAUGUGCUUACAGGCUGUGAGUCCUACCUGCCGCUUCCGAUGGAAGGAAACGCGAUGGACUUCAGCUUCUUAUCAUCUGCCAGGGCCAGACAGUUCUUCACUGUCUUUUCCAGAAGUUCCUCACACUUGUCCACACCCCACACCGGACUGUUACAGUGGAUCACAAACUUGGCGGGCAGGCCAUGGCCUGCACUCACAGCAGCUGAAAGUGAUAAGACAAAAAAAAGGAGUCAUCUUUUUCCAACUAUACAACUGCACAGCCAGGCCUGUCUUUCCAAGUCUGCUCCCCACCAGGGAAUGUAACAGGGCAGCCCAUAUCACCCAGGAUUCCUGUUUCAAGAGCUGCAAUGCAAAGAAGGGGUUGGAGAGGCGAAAAGCGGGAGCACAAAGGAAGAAGCACCUGAAGCAAAGGGGGCCACACA